UACGGAGGGUGCGAGCGUUGUCCGGAAUCACUGGGCGUAAAGGGCGCGUAGGCGGCUUGGGAAGUCUGUGGUGAAAGCUCGUGGCUCAACUGCGAGUCGGCCAUAGAUACUCCUAAGCUCGAGUCGACUAGAGGCAGAUGGAAUUCCGGGUGUAGCGGUGGAAUGCGUAGAGAUCCGGAAGAACACCGGUGGCGAAGGCGGUCUGC
rnacentral:rRNA from 1 species